rnacentral:rRNA from 1 species
AUUGAACGCUGGCGGCAGGCCUAACACAUGCAAGUCGAACGGUAACAGGAAACAGCUUGCUGUUUCGCUGACGAGUGGCGGACGGGUGAGUAAUGUCUGGGAAACUGCCUGAUGGAGGGGGAUGACUACUGGAAACGGUAGCUAAUACCGCAUAACGUCGCAAGACCAAAGAGGGGGACCUUCGGGCCUCUUGCCAUCGGAUGUGCCCAGAUGGGAUUAGCUUGUUGGUGGGGUAACGGCUCACCAAGGCGACGAUCCCUAGCUGGUCUGAGAGGAUGACCAGCCACACUGGAACUGAGACACGGUCCAGACUCCUACGGGAGGCAGCAGUGGGGAAUAUUGCACAAUGGGCGCAAGCCUGAUGCAGCCAUGCCGCGUGUAUGAAGAAGGCCUUCGGGUUGUAAAGUACUUUCAGCGGGGAGGAAGGGAGUAAAGUUAAUACCUUUGCUCAUUGACGUUACCCGCAGAAGAAGCACCGGCUAACUCCGUGCCAGCAGCCGCGGUAAUACGGAGGGUGCAAGCGUUAAUCGGAAUUACUGGGCGUAAAGCGCACGCAGGCGGUUUGUUAAGUCAGAUGUGAAAUCCCCGGGCUCAACCUGGGAACUGCAUCUGAUACUGGCAAGCUUGAGUCUCGUAGAGGGGGGUAGAAUUCCAGGUGUAGCGGUGAAAUGCGUAGAGAUCUGGAGGAAUACCGGUGGCGAAGGCGG